rnacentral:tRNA from 1 species
GGGCUAUUAGCUCAGGUGGUUAGAGCGCACCCCUGAUAAGGGUGAAGGUCCCUGGUUCGAGUCCAGGAUGGCCCA